rnacentral:rRNA from 1 species
GAUGAACGCUGGCGGCGUGCCUAAUACAUGCAAGUCGAGCGAACGGACGAGAAGCUUGCUUCUCUGAUGUUAGCGGCGGACGGGUGAGUAACACGUGGAUAACAUACCUAUAAGACUGGGAUAACUUCGGGAAACCGUAGCUAAUACCGGAUCAUAUUUUGAACCGCAUGGUUCAACAGUGAUAGACGGUCUUGCUGUCACUAAUAGAUGGAUCCGCGCUGCAUUAGUUAGUUGGUAAGGUAACGGCUUACCAAGGCAACGAUGCAUAGCCGACCUGAGAGGGUGAUCAGCCACACUGGAACUGAGACACGGUCCAGACUCCUACGGGAGGCAGCAGUGGGGAAUCUUCCGCAAUGGGCGAAAGCCUGACGGAGCAACGCCGCGUGAGUGAUGAAGGUCUUCGGAUUGUAAAACUCUGUUAUUGGGGAAGAACAUAUGUGUAAGUAACUGUGCACGUCUUGACGGUACCUAAUCAGAAAGCAACGGCUAACUACGUG